UACGAAGGGGGCUAGCGUUGUUCGGAAUUACUGGGCGUAAAGCGCGCGCAGGCGGUUCUUCAAGUCAGAGGUGAAAGCCCAGAGCUCAACUCUGGAAUGGCCUUUGAGACUAGAGAACUAGGGUACGGGAGAGGUGAGUGGAAUUCCGAGUGUAGAGGUGAAAUUCGUAGAUAUUCGGAAGAACACCAGUGGCGAAGGCGGCUAUCUGGACGGUUUCUGACGCUAAGACGCGAAAGCGUGGGGAGCAAACAGG
rnacentral:rRNA from 1 species